rnacentral:rRNA from 1 species
GAUGAACGCUGGCGGCGUGCUUAACACAUGCAAGUCGAACGGAAAGGCUCCUGCUUGCUGGGGUACUCGAGUGGCGAACGGGUGAGUAACACGUGGGUGAUCUGCCCUGCACUUCGGGAUAAGCCUGGGAAACUGGGUCUAAUACCGGAUAGGACGAUGGUUUGGAUGCCAUUGUGGAAAGUUUUUUCGGUGUGGGAUGGGCUCGCGGCCUAUCAGCUUGUUGGUGGGGUAAUGGCCUACCAAGGCGUCGACGGGUAGCCGGCCUGAGAGGGUGAACGGCCACAUUGGGACUGAGAUACGGCCCAGACUCCUACGGGAGGCAGCAGUGGGAAAUAUUGCACAAUGGGCGCAAGCCUGAUGCAGCGACGCCGCGUGGGGGAUGACGGCCUUCGGGUUGUAAACUCCUUUCGCUAGGGACGAAGCGCAAGUGACGGUACCUGGAGAAGAAGCACCGGCUAACUACGUG